UGGGGAAUAUUGCACAAUGGGGGGAAACCCUGAUGCAGCGACGCCGCGUGAGUGAAGAAGUAUUUCGGUAUGUAAAGCUCUAUCAGCAGGGAAGAUAAUGACGGUACCUGACUAAGAAGCACCGGCUAAAUACGUGCCAGCAGCCGCGGUAACACGUAUGGUGCAAGCGUUAUCCGGAUUUACUGGGUGUAAAGGGUGCGUAGGUGGCAUGGCAAGUCAGAAGUGAAAACCCGGGGCUUAACCCCGUGACUGCUUUUGAAACUGUCAGGCUUGAGUGCAGGAGAGGAAAGCGGAAUUCCUAGUGUAGCGGUGAAAUGCGU
rnacentral:rRNA from 1 species